GACGAACGCUGGCGGCGUGCUUAACACAUGCAAGUCGAACGAAGUGGCGAACGGGUGAGUAACGCGUAAUCAACCUGCCCUUCAGAGGGGGAUAACAGGUGGAAACGACUGCUAAUACCGCAUACUGAAGGAGGGGAUUGCGUCGGAUUAGCUAGUUGGGGGGGUAACGGCCCACCAAGGCGAAGAUCAGUAGCCGGUCUGAGAGGGUGAACGGGCACAUUGGGACUGAGACACGGGCCAGACUCCUAACGGAGGCAGCAGUGGGGAAUCUUUCGCAAUGGACGAAAGUCUGACGAAGCAACGCCGCGUGAGUGAUGACGGGCUUCGGGUUGUAAAGAUCUGUUAAUCGGGACGCGGUACCGGAAUAGAAAGCCACGGCUAACUACGUGCCAGCAGCCGCGGUAAUAC
rnacentral:rRNA from 1 species